UACGUAGGGUGCAAGCGUUAUCCGGAAUUAUUGGGCGUAAAGAGCUCGUAGGCGGUCUGUCGCGUCUGCUGUGAAAACUCAGGGCUUAACCCUGAGCUUGCAGUGGGUACGGGCAGACUAGAGUGCGGUAGGGGAGACUGGAAUUCCUGGUGUAGCGGUGAAAUGCGCAGAUAUCAGGAGGAACACCGGUGGCGAAGGCAGAUCUCUGGGCCGUAACUGACGCUGAGGAGCGAAAGCGUGGGAAGCGAACAGG
rnacentral:rRNA from 1 species